GGAGAUUUCAGGGUUCAUACAUAAAUAAAAGGAGGCCAGCAUGUUUUCAAGUGUCGGUACCGCAGCAGGAGUUUGUGUCUUUGCCAACAGGAACAGAACAGAAGUCUGUUUGUUCUCAUAGCAGCUCUCUGAUGAGAAAGGUUUUAUAGUUUGAGGGGAGAUUGGGAGCAGCGACAAACAGAGAAGAGAGCAAAGACAGAAGAAGCUGACAGAUUCAUGGACUGCAUCAGAGUUUAGAAUUAAAGAUCGCUGCCUCUCCCUGAGCCUGGUUCUGCCAGAGUUUUCUUCCUUCGAAAAGAGCUGGAGGGUAUUGACUGGAUGGAUGUCUCACCACAGGAAACCUCAUCUGUGUAAAAACCUACUUGGUUUCAAGGAGGAUACGUUUGCCAGAGAUAAAGGCAUUUCAUCACAUUGCACCGGAGACUAGGUUCAAGAAACUGCCUUUUAUCAGCAGACAGCAACUGAGCUGAACAUUUCACAGUCUUCAUAUAUUAACCUUAUUUUUCCCUCCAGUCUUUGAGUCUGGAGUGUAUUUCUGGUAUCUGAUUGUUUGUAUUUAAACCAGGAUGAAGAACAGUCAGGCUCUAUGCAAACUGAAUAAACUAUGACACUGUCUUUGAACUUACACCAAACAGGGAGGAAAUCUUUUGGUGCUAUUAUCUAAAAAUGUGAAGUCAUGUUGAGUGUUAAAAUGGAUUCGGAUGAGUAGUCUGUUCUCUGUGUCCCUUCUGCAGACUCUCCUUUAAUGUGCACCACAGAGGGGAGGAUUUUUUAAUAUGUGUACAGCUUUGAAGAAGGAGACCAAUGGUAAGAUGCUAUGAUAAAACUGAAAAAUCAUAUAUUCCUUAUUAUGCGCAGCUAUAGCUCAGCACAAUGCUGCUCUUUUCCUUUGACGUAUCCUCAUUGCUCUGCUUGGCGCUCAUAGCCACUUCAAUGAUGUUUUCAACUGGCAGAUCAUAUCCAUAGCCCACGCCUUUCUCCCCUCACUUUCAGUCUCACCCGCAUCCUCCUCUCUUUCGAUGUCAGUCAUUAUGAUCCAUUUCAGGAGUCGGUAAACAUCCAGCAUUGUGUUCAACAGCCACAAACUUAAACUGUUUCAUUCUGGAGGAGGCAGAGAGAUCACCGUGCCAACAAAACACCGGUAAACAUUGGUGCCAUGGCAACCUCCAGAGCGCAGGACGCAAAUCUCCAUGGCAACCUUUGUGUGUGUGCAAGGGGGAGAUGGAGCCAAUGAUUGAAAGACGUCGAGACAAAUGAUUAUAUUGUCAGCAAACAGAAAUAUUUAUCAAUGUGCUAAUGGUACAACUCUGACUGCAACAUCCAGGAGAUGAAUAAUGUGAGAACUGCAGGGCAACGAAGGGUAAACAACAACUGCAACACAAUUCCCUGAUGCCAAACAUCUCUCACAGAUCUAAUCAUCGCAUCACUUUUCAUCCACUGCAAGGUUUACGAGGUAAUAAAGGACUACAGCCAAAGCACAGAACUCAAUUUCAUAAGGACUUUAUAUGUCAUAGGAAAAUGACUGAAGAAAUUAAA